AUCAAUGCCUUUUAAGGUGACCCCCGGAUAAUUCCUCUGUGUAUUUAAGUUUGGUAAGCACUGCUCUGCAGAACUCAAGCCAAAAAUAUUUGCAUUCUGGAUAAACAAGAAAGCUUUACGCAGAGGCUAGUCCCAUCCACUGUCUUCCUCUCAUCUGGUUACACUACAAAUCUCACCCUAGACUCAGACUGCAGAAGAAAAUUGCUGGAUGCCAAAUGUUCACCUCCUUGUAGCUCAUUUCCAUGUGCACAGGAACUUGAGCUAUCUCACCAGGCUGUCAGAACCAGCAGGUCCAGUGUUCAGAAGAACCUACUUUGUUGCAGAAAAAAUUGAAGCUUAUGUUCAUGGACUUGCCAGAGCUGUCUGCAAAAUGCACUAGCCAAAUGGAAUUAUGCAAAGCUUAUGGAAGAAGGCCCGAUUAAAUUCAAAAGGUUGGUA